GAUUAACCAUUUUUAUGGUAUAGUAAAAUAGUUUAUAUUUUUCAGUUGAGGUAGAAUUUCAUGUGGAAUGUUAAUGCAAAAGUUAAACCAUCACCACCUCCACAGGCCACCUUAUCUCAAGCAUUCAAUUGCAUUCUAAGUUAUCUUUAUUCAAAUCAAGUGUGACUACUAUACCAAAAGACUGUAGAAUGGACCAAUCAACUAACCCAUCAGUACUUGCAAAGUCUUUUUUCUGUAAGCCCGAAAUUUAAGUUCUAAAAUACCAUUAUCCACAUAACUACUAUAUCAAAGCAUAAACUACUGGAUUGAUCAAGUAAUACUUAAUUUUUACCUUGAGUUGCGUGUUAGUACGUAUAUGAUUUUGAUAUAUAAGUUUUAAUUAUUAUGUUUGUUGUUUAGUUUUUAACUUUAAAGAUUUCAAGAAUUACAAUUUUAUUUUUACAUGUUUAUUUAUAUUGUAGUGAAACUGUCGGUAUCUCCACUACUUUUCAAU
rnacentral:lncRNA from 1 species